GCGGGCAUGGUCUAGUGGUUAUGACGCCUGCUUUACACGCAGGAGAUCCCGAGUUCGAUCCUCGGUGCCCGUAC
rnacentral:tRNA from 1 species